UAGGGAAUCUUCCACAAUGGACGCAAGUCUGAUGGAGCAACGCCGCGUGAGUGAAGAAGGUUUUCGGAUCGUAAAGCUCUGUUGUUGGUGAAGAAGGAUAGAGGUAGUAACUGGCCUUUAUUUGACGGUAAUCAACCAGAAAGUCACGUCUAACUACGCGCCAG
rnacentral:rRNA from 1 species